UGUGGACACAAUGGUUAAUGACUAGUUUUUUAUAUUAGAAAAUAUGUUCACUCGUAUUAGAUCAAAUUUUAAACUUAACUACUAUAAACUGGGCUCAGGAAAUGAGUGCAUGAAAAGAGGAGUAAGGAACUCACAAAUUCGGUUGCGCAUCAGACCUGGUCAGAUGGGCGAAAUGAGCUAGGUCUAAUAGCUAUGAUUGGAAGGCUACAUUUGACCAAAUUUAUAGAAGCACAAACGUAACUUGUUAACUCAGGUCACUAAACAAUGUAUCUUAACAAGAACACUUUAAUUAAACGUCAACUCAUCUUGUUUGAGUUCAAGCUGAGUUAGGACGACUCACGAGGCACUCGUUUAGCUUGUUACAUUUUAGUUUUUGCUCCAUCCCUACACGUGACACCUCUCAAGCUAGAGCAUGCGAUGUAACCAGUGUUGUCCAUGCCAGACAGCUCCGCAUCCGGUGCAGUGCGGUCAAUCGUGAUGUUUAAAAGGGGUAGUAAGAUGCAGCUCUCAUGCAGAUAACUAGAAUUGAUAACUAUUGGCUACGAACCUGUGAAGUUAUUCCCUUUUUCUGGUCGGUUUUUUGCCCGUUCAUCAAUUUGCACAAAUCUUGUAUGGGAAAAUAGAUGUGGUUCUGCGAAUACUAGUGGACCGCUCCAACUUGUCCGAGGAGGAUUUUUUAUUUGAUAUUUUACUUGGCCUGAAAGAGUGAAAGUCUCGGCAGGAAACCGAGCUGAUGGUGGCUGCCAGAAAUUAAGUUUCAAAAUGUGCAGGCUGCCUUUCAAGAUAAUGGUUGAGGUGUUUUUGCCCCCGAAGAAGGAAAAUCAACAUAGCUGAUGUUAAGUACGUCUUCAAACACUGAAUAUAAACUACUAAAUUCACUACAGAAAAGUCACACUGGAUACGUUCAAGAACUAAAGCAAAAUAAAGGGGUCAUGAGCUGAAAAUAGAGAUAAGUUUUUGAUUUUGUGUCAAGACAAGCAAGCACUUUGUGUUGAGAAUGCUUGAUUCUUAGAGAACUACCAACAUUAUUGAAAUCUUGCAAUGUUCUCCUGCAAAGAAUAUUACCCUUCAAAUUUAGACAAGUGCAACACGUUUUCUUUGCUCCAUCUUUUUAACUUGCUUGAAAUUCUAAACUACAAAAAACUGUUCAUUCAACUAUUAAACACAUGUACCAUUGCAAACCACGACAAAGGCCAGUUGAGCAUGCACACAAUUAAACAGCAACUAGUCGCCGCACGGGCUAGUUUAGUAAUUAAUAUAUAUGGAAAACCUAAGACCAUGUAUAACUUUUGAAUCUAGUUUAUAUCGUGACACAUGUGGAACACCUUAUAAUCUCAAGAGAAGUAAGUGGAUAUGAGAUAAAAUACAAAUUCAUAAGUUAUCCUUAUAUGUGUGCAUCUCUAUUUUUUCUUCUAGUGUUCCCUUGUCCAUUCACCGAAAGAUACCAUGUUAUACUAUUUGGAACAAAAGAGAGGCCCCACCUUAAUCAAAAAGUUUAAUUUCAAUUCUUUAGUAAAACAGUCAACCACAUAAGAAUUGUGGAGAGAAAGAGAAAAAUCUGAUAGAUAAUGCUACAAUCUUUCAGAAAAUAACAGCCAAACACACCAUAAGAAUAUUCUAAAUCACCAUGAGAUCUGUAUGAAGUACAAUGUCCAUGAACGGCAUCAACUUAAAACUAUAGGCACAUUGGUACAUAUAUAAUGAGGAGGACAUGUUAAUUGUGGUGACUAUCAACCAUAUAAAUGGACAUAUCAUCGCCACACUAAAUGGUGAUGAGGUUGCCACUGGUUCUGUGCUAAAACAUCUUUGCUGGCAGGAGACUUCUGAUAUUUGUGAAAUAUAGUACCAAAAAUAAGUUUUUGUGCCUUCUUGCAUUUCACAUGUCAGACUAUUGUGAUUUUACUUAUUAGAUCAUGCUCAGAUCAAAUAAAAUAAAACUACCUGAUUAACUAUAGAACCUGGUGAACAAAAACAAAUGAUUCAGGUAUAACUCUGAAUGAAGACCCGAUAAACUAUAGAACCUGAUGAGUAAACAAACGAUUCAGAUAUAACUAUAGAACAUAUUUACAUGCGAACCGACAAAAAUUGCAUUCACACCUUAAUCUUGCACCUAACCAUUAUAACUUUUACGCCUAUUCAUGCCUUCUAUUUAACUAAGGAUGAGAGAAAUUCUACGGAUAUAAUUAGUAAAUUAACAUCAAAAGCAUACAAAAGGAGUUAGUACAACACAUACCUAUUCCGCCAGAAGUUACGACAAUCUCUGAUCUGACCACAUAUUGUCUUGAUACAUAGAUCAGACGUGUAAGCCUGGAUUGUAUAUUAAACUGCACAUACAUGCAAACAUACACAGUCAGCGCUGAGUAUAUAUACUACCACUGUUGCUGGAUGAAGUGGUAGUAUUCCUGUGUAUUUGUUACGUUAUGAUAUUCUGUCCCCAGUGAAGGCACACUUUGUACACUGUUGUUUGACAUCACCAUGAUUAGAAGCAGAAUAGGCAAUCAUUCGGAAACGUGAACAUUAGAUUGAAAGAAGAUUCACAUGUAUGUUAUUGGUACCUUCAUUGGGAGACGUUGCUGUGUACUCGCAUAUGACUUUCAAAUGAGAUGAGAAGGAGCGCAGAAGUUCUAUUUAUAGAAGAAUCAGAGAAGUUGAUGGUAGGACUCCACGCUAGCCAUGAUGUGUGGUGCACAAUCCAGCCAGUCAGGUGGUUGAUGAAUUUUCAAAAGGUUUCUUCUCGUUUUUUUUGCGGUGGCAAAAGGUUUCUUCUCUAACCUGAUGUUUCAAUAAUGUUUUAAUAAAUGAAGAAAAUGUUGGCAGUGUGAUAUCCAGCAAAAAAUCUGCUCAGUUUUGGACCGGCCAUUAUGCUAGCUAUAUAUAUCACAUGAUCUGGAGAUAACAGACACCAUGAACAUCUAUUCGAUGCCUUAUGAUCUAUCUCGCAACCAACUACAGUUGGUCGUCUCACUGAAGAACUAACUCUUGUUCAUCAAAUUCAAGGCCAAGACAUGGUCAGAACAGUACUGGCAGCAAAGCAAUUAUACAUGUUCGAAAGCCAGGAGGGAGGAGAUUGUAAUUGUAUAACAGAUUGAUGCAUAGAACAUGAGAAGUGGUAUAUUAUGAGGAGAAGAGCAAUCUAAGAAAGAAACCCUGAAAAAGGAACCAAAAUCAUGGACUAUUUAUUAGGAAUAAACAUGAGAAACAUAAACCAGAUCCAAGUAUAAUAGGUGAAAAACGAAUUGAUCUAGAUAAUGAUUGCUCAUGACAGUUCCAUCUCCACGUGAUGCAAGAAGAAACAUUAAUAAAUCUAGACGUGCCGACCUGGUAUGGAAAGAGUCACGGAGUUAUAUGCACAAAUUUUUAGUAGAAAACCUGAGAGAGAUGAGGUCAGGAGAAAGCAUGGAUGACAUACUUGGCAUGACAAAUUGUAAGAUCUAACCUGAGGGUGGUUUGUCUUUAGACAGUUGGUGCUCCUCUCCUGUCGUGAGGUUGUUUGUGUCUAGGCAAGGAGCCAUGCUGGUAGAAGGCGUCAUGUCAUGGGCUAGGUUUCGGAAAUCGCCGCCGGGGAGCUAUAGACGAUGAAGAACUCCCAUCGUAUUGAGAGGACGGUGGCCGCCGAGGACAGCUGGGCUUAUGAGAUCGUGGUUCUUUUUUUUCCUUUGCUGACCUAGAGAAUAGAGGAAGGGGAGUCGUGAGAUAUGAGAUGUGAGAUUUUGGGACGGG
rnacentral:lncRNA from 1 species